rnacentral:rRNA from 1 species
AUUGAACGCUGGCGGCAGGCUUAACACAUGCAAGUCGAGCGGAGAUGAGGUGCUUGCACCUUAUCUUAGCGGCGGACGGGUGAGUAAUGCUUAGGAAUCUGCCUAUUAGUGGGGGACAACAUUCCGAAAGGAAUGCUAAUACCGCAUACGCCCUACGGGGGAAAGCAGGGGAUCUUCGGACCUUGCGCUAAUAGAUGAGCCUAAGUCGGAUUAGCUAGUCGGUGGGGUAAAGGCCUACCAAGGCGACGAUCUGUAGCGGGUCUGAGAGGAUGAUCCGCCACACUGGGACUGAGACACGGCCCAGACUCCUACGGGAGGCAGCAGUGGGGAAUAUUGGACAAUGGGCGGAAGCCUGAUCCAGCCAUGCCGCGUGUGUGAAGAAGGCCUUUUGGUUGUAAAGCACUCUAAGCGAGGAGGAGGCUACCUGGAUUAAUACUCUAGGAUAGUGGACGUUACUCGCAGAAUAAGCACCGGCUAACUCUGUGCCAGCCGCCGCGGUAACAC